GCAACUCGCCUACACGAAGUCGGAAUCGCUAGUAAUCGCGGAUCAGCAUGCCGCGGUGAAUACGUUCCCGGGCCUUGUACACACCGCCGUCACACCAUGGGAGUUUGUAACGCCCAAAGUCGGUGGCCUAACCUUUAUGGAGGGAGCCGCCUAAGGCGGGACAGAUGACUGGGGUGAAGUCGUAACAAGGUACC
rnacentral:rRNA from 1 species